rnacentral:rRNA from 2 species
ACCUGCCCUGUAGAUCGGGAUAACACCGAGAAAUCGGUGCUAAUACCGGGUAAUAUCUGAGAUCACAUGAUCUUAGGUUAAAAGAUGGCUCCGGCUAUCACUACAGGAUGGGCCCGCGGCGCAUUAGCUAGUUGGUAAGGUAAUGGCUUACCAAGGCGACGAUGCGUAGCCGACCUGAGAGGGUGAUCGGCCACACUGGGACUGAGACACGGCCCAGACUCCUACGGGAGGCAGCAGUAGGGAAUCUUCCGCAAUGGACGAAAGUCUGACGGAGCAACGCCGCGUGAGUGAUGAAGGGUUUCGGCUCGUAAAGCUCUGUUGUUAGGGAAGAACAAGUAUCGUUCGAAUAGGGCGGUACCUUGACGGUACCUAACCAGAAAGCCACGGCUAACUACGUGCCAGCAGCCGCGGUAAUACGUAGGUGGCAAGCGUUGUCCGGAAUUAUUGGGCGUAAAGCGCGCGCAGGCGGUCUUUUAAGUCUGAUGUGAAAGCCCCCGGCUCAACCGGGGAGGGUCAUUGGAAACUGGGAGACUUGAGUACAGAAGAGGAGAGUGGAAUUCCACGUGUAGCGGUGAAAUGCGUAGAUAUGUGGAGGAACAC